rnacentral:ncRNA from 1 species
AGUAAGAUUUGGAAUAGUAGCAAAAAAAAUGUUUUUAGAGAGUUCACCCUUGGCUGAGAGGUAAACAACCCCUGUUUUUUGCGAACCUACCAAUGGUAAUGAUUAUGAAAGUAAUCGGGGGAAAGCCCUUAUCCUUUAAGCAAGAGGCCUUUUCAGAUAAAGAAAAAGCAAUCAAGGUGGUACCGCGAAAUUCAAGUAUUUCGUCCUUUUU